UGGCAGGGAUUGAACCCGGGACCCUUCAGUCCACAGGCCGAUGCUCUAACCACUAAGCCAAACCAGCCAGGGUAAAACUUGCCCUGUUUAAAUUGCUAUGUGGUUUCUGUCUCUUGAUUGGACCCAGACUGAUACAUUAGGCAACAAGAAAAAUAAAAAGGUUUAUUAAUUUGUUACUACUCUUUUGUUAGUCUAAAAUGAUUUUGAAAUAAAAUCUUUAAAAAUAUGCUAUAUGGAAAAAGUAAACUUAGAAGGAACAAAAUGGAGAACAGUAGCACUGAUGCCUGAAGUCAACAGAUCCACCAUCUCCUACACCAGCAGGGUGUCCUACAAUUCAAUACAGUUCUGACACCAUCUACCUGGAGUUAAUGCAGACCCUGCAGAUUAGGGGCUCAGUCCCAUAAGACUGCCCCCAUAAAUUGCAAGUCUUGGCCACAUGUACUUCUGGCUGAUUGCCUAUAAAUUGGGGCUCCCAUGACCACCUCCUUAGGUUCAAUAACUUGCUAGAACAGCUCACAGAACUCAGGAAAGCAGUUUAUUUACAGUUGUUUAUUAUAAAGACUAUAACUUGGAAACAAGCAAAUGGAAAAGAUGUGUAGGGUGUGGUUCCCGGGAAGGGGUGGUGGAGCGUUGUACCCUCCGGGUGCACCACUCUCCCAGCACUGCCACCAUGUGUUCACCAACCUGGACGUUCUCUGAACCCCUUCCUUUUGGGGUUUUAUGGAGAUUCCAUUACAUAGGCAUGAUUGAUUAAAUCACUGGCCAUUGGUGAGUAACUCAGCCCUGAAUUUGGGGGUGGGGCUGAAGGGUCCAACCUUCUGAUGCAGGUUUGGUUUUACCGGUGACCAGACCCCAUCCUGAAGCUCUGUAGGAGUCCACAGAGUCACCUCAUUAGCAUAAUCUCAAAUGUGGUUGAAAGGGGCUUAUUGGGAAUAGCAGAAGAUGCUCCUCUCACCCCAUCACCCAGGGAAUUCCAGGGUUUGAAAGCAUUGUGCCGGGAAACAGGAUGAAGACCAAAUAUGUAUUUAUUAUUACACUACCACAUGAUGUAACAUGACAUUGUAAAUGUACACAGCCCACCUAGAAAAGGCAUAUGAACUGUUGCCCAAACAAGCUUAGGGAGACAGAACCAACAGAGGAUGGUUGCUGGAUAGCGAUCACUACCUGGCUAUGUGUGACCUUGGAAGAAAGGUGUCUACUGUGGGGGACACUGGACUGACUCUUCUGGCUUUGCAAUCCCUUGUAGCCAAGAGCUAUCUGCUUGGUUGGUGUUCGUGGUGCUGUUGAAAAACGCCAAGCAAUUCCACCUGCAAAACGGGAUAACUGGCAGGAGAUGAUGGAGGCUCAGACCCUCCCACCUCUAGGCCACAGUCGCUGUCAACGCCAAAGGCACCUCAUGUGGUCUAAUGGUAAAGGUCUACUGAGGGGUUGGCUCUCCGAGUGGGCUAGGGGUGGGGGUCAGCACUGGUCGUGGUAGGGAUGGGGUGCCUUUCCAGGCAGGAGUGCUUUCUUCAUCCAGGCAGUGGGCACAAAGCUUCUGCCAAGGUCUUCUCCCGUCACUUAAAGGCUCCUUCUCCCUUCAGCCACCCUUCAUCUGCUCAGCAAACCUAUGGCACCAUUUAAUUCAGUUAGCAGACCUAAGCCUUGCUGCGGCUUGGAGGCAGGAGGAGUCAUUCUGGCUCGAGUUUUCCAGGAGGAAAGGCUGUGGGCAGCAACACUGUUCUCUUGCACAAAGGACUGCCAUGCGCCACCAAGCUGCUCACGAGGUUGGUUACAGUGACCCAUACCCACUGGGAGAAAAGGACGCCUGUGUUCUAAAGGGACGUGGGAGAAGGGACAAAGGCUUCUGUUGUAGUAAUUGCAAGUAUGGAGGUGAUGAGAAUUAAUUAUCUUUCCUGUUCUAAAGAAGGCUGCUACCAGCUGCAGGCGGCCAGGAGUGAGGGCUUGUGGCUAGAGUUGUGGGGCUGGGUUCAAAUCCUGCCUCUGUGGAGAGACCUUCAGCAAAUGACUUAACCUUUCUCAGCCUCAGUGAAAGCGGAAAAGUGUUACCCCUCAGAGGAUUGUUGGUGGAGAAAAUGAAAUUUUGCACACGCGCACGCACAUGUCUCGAGUAUAGUGUGAAGUGCCUAAUCCACUCGAUUAGUGGUCAUUAUCAUCAUAAAAGGUAUAUUCUUGUCUAUCAAAAGAACAUGGACCUGUCAGGUGAACUCCUGGUACAGAAGGCAGACAAAGCAAAGCAAAAACAGGACAGAUUUUUUUCUGAGCCAGCAUAUGAGGGUCCAAAAGUGCAGAAUGAACUCACUGGCUAACUUAGAACAUUUUGAGUCCAGGAGGCCCCCAAUUUGGCCAACUGUGAUAGCGUAUCUGUAUUUCGUGAGUAUCAUGUUUUAUUAUUUUUAUACCACAUCAAAUUCCAUGAAUCCAUUUGGUUUCUAACCAGUCGUUAAAAAAAUCGCUGCUCCCUUCCAGAUGGGCAGCCCAGCGUGAGCAGAGCUGUCGGGGUUUGCUUUGGAUCCAUGGCAACGUCAGGGCCAGUGCAAAACAGCAGGGCUUUUGUUUUUGUUUUUUGUUGUUCAAGUUUUUCUUUUUUUGUAAAUUUUGAGAAGGAGCUGGAGCUGGGAGCACAGUGAGCACGCUUCCCUCAGCCUUGCUGUGUGUGUGUGAGGUUUUUUGCCCAGGGAACUGGGUCUCCUCUUGGUGAGAGGAAGUGCUGAGUCGUUGCCAGGGAAAGGAAACUUGCUUUUUCCCCUUUGGUGGAACUCUCUGCUGCACACAUUUAUUUGCCUGGAAUAGUAUAAUUAAUCUAUCAUUGGUUUGGAGUAUAUUUAUUGGCUUAUUAAGCGAGAUUUUCCUGUAUGCCAUUGGCUUGUGAGAUAUAAUUCCUGUAGUGAACUUACGUUAAAUAAAUGAUUGGCAAAGACACUCUCAGUCUCUGAGCAUAAUUUUGCCACCAACAAACACCUAUAACAUGACUAGAAGUGGUGAAAGUGGAUGCAUAUGCCUUGUUUCUAAUAAUAACUUUCAAUAUAACGUAUGAUUUUAGUGAUGGGUUUUUUGAUAGAUGCCUUUUGAGAGUUGUCAGAUCCUUUUUCUUAUUGAAAUGAUUGUAUAAUUUUUCUCCUCUGUUCUGUUAAUGUGGAGAAUUACAUUAAUUUUCAAGCGUUAGUCCAAGUUUGCAUUACUGGAUAAACUCCACUUGGCCAUAAUGUAUUAUCCUCAGUAUAUAUUGUUGGGCUUGAUUUGCUAAUGUUUGGUAAAGGUUUUUGCAUCUGUUUUUAUGAGGGAUAUUAGUACUUUUUUCCCUGUACGUCAGGUAUUUGUAUUGGAAUUAUGUUUGCCUAAUAAAACACUGGGAAGUGUCUAUCCCAUAUUUUCUUAAAA